rnacentral:rRNA from 1 species
GAAAUUGCGGGAGGCCUAAACAUGCAGUCGAGCGGUAGCACAGAGAGCUUGCUCUCGGGUGACGAGCGGCGGACGGGUGAGUAAUGUCUGGGAAACUGCCUGAUGGAGGGGGAUAACUACUGGAAACGGUAGCUAAUACCGCAUAACGUCGCAAGACCAAAGUGGGGGACCUUCGGGCCUCAUGCCAUCAGAUGUGCCCAGAUGGGAUUAGCUAGUAGGUGGGGUAACGGCUCACCUAGGCGACGAUCCCUAGCUGGUCUGAGAGGAUGACCAGCCACACUGGAACUGAGACACGGUCCAGACUCCUACGGGAGGCAGCAGUGGGGAAUAUUGCACAAUGGGCGCAAGCCUGAUGCAGCCAUGCCGCGUGUGUGAAGAAGGCCUUCGGGUUGUAAAGCACUUUCAGCGGGGAGGAAGGCGAUAAGGUUAAUAACCUUGUCGAUUGACGUUACCCGCAGAAGAAGCACCGGCUAACUCCGUGCCAGCAGCCGCGGUAAUACGGAGGGUGCAAGCGUUAAUCGGAAUUACUGGGCGUAAAGCGCACGCAGGCGGUCUGUCAAGUCGGAUGUGAAAUCCCCGGGCUCAACCUGGGAACUGCAUUCGAAACUGGCAGGCUAGAGUCUUGUAGAGGGGGGUAGAAUUCCAGGUGUAGCGGUGAAAUGCGUAGAGAUCUGGAGGAAUACCGGUGGCGAAGGCGGCCCCCUGGACAAAGACUGACGCUCAGGUGCGAAAGCGUGGGGAGCAAACAGGAUUAGAUACCCUGGUAGUCCACGCCGUAAACGAUGUCGAUUUGGAGGUUGUGCCCUUGAGGCGUGGCUUCCGGAGCUAACGCGUUAAAUCGACCGCCUGGGGAGUACGGCCGCAAGGUUAAAACUCAAAUGAAUUGACGGGGGCCCGCACAAGCGGUGGAGCAUGUGGUUUAAUUCGAUGCAACGCGAAGAACCUUACCUGGUCUUGACAUCCACAGAACUUUCCAGAGAUGGAUUGGUGCCUUCGGGAACUGUGAGACAGGUGCUGCAUGGCUGUCGUCAGCUCGUGUUGUGAAAUGUUGGGUUAAGUCCCGCAACGAGCGCAACCCUUAUCCUUUGUUGCCAGCGGUCCGGCCGGGAACUCAAAGGAGACUGCCAGUGAUAAACUGGAGGAAGGUGGGGAUGACGUCAAGUCAUCAUGGCCCUUACGACCAGGGCUACACACGUGCUACAAUGGCAUAUACAAAGAGAAGCGACCUCGCGAGAGCAAGCGGACCUCAUAAAGUAUGUCGUAGUCCGGAUUGGAGUCUGCAACUCGACUCCAUGAAGUCGGAAUCGCUAGUAAUCGUAGAUCAGAAUGCUACGGUGAAUACGUUCCCGGGCCUUGUACACACCGCCCGUCACACCAUGGGAGUGGGUUGCAAAAGAAGUAGGUAGCUUAACCUUCGGGAGGGCGCUUACCAACUUUUGGUUUGCCAGC